rnacentral:rRNA from 1 species
CCUACGGGGGGCAGCAGUGGGGAAUAUUGGGCAAUGGAGGCAACUCUGACCCAGCAACGCCGCGUGAAUGAUGAAGGUCUUCGGAUUGUAAAGUUCUGUGAUGGGGGAUGAACACAAUGACGGUACCACAAUAGCAAGCCACGGCUAACUACGUGCCAGCAGCCGCGGAAAUACGUAGGUUGCAAGCGUUAUCCGGAAUGACUGGGCGUAAGGGGUGCGUAGGUGGUCUAGUAAGUUGGCGGUGUAAUUCCGGGGCUCAACCUCGGCGCUACCGCCAAAACUAUUAGACUAGAGUGCAGGAGAGGUAAGUAGAAUUCCUGGUGUAGCGGUGAAAUGCGUAGAUAUUAGGAGGAAUAUCGGGGGCGAAGGCGACUCACUGGACUGUAACUGACACUGAGGCACGAAAGCGUGGGGAGCAAACAGGAUUAGAUACCCGUGUAGUC